GUAUAACUUAGUAGGUUUGGUUUCCCUAAAUCUGCAGCAAAAGCUAAUGUUAAUUCCUUUCUUAAUUCCUACAGAUGCCACAAAGCAAGCUGCUCUUGAAGGACCGGUUUCAUAUCCAAACAGGAUACAUUAAAAUGCAUCAGCAUUACAGUGUAAAUGCUAGUGCAGGGUGCCUUGACUAGUUAGUCAAGCAUAUUGCCUGGCUCUGAAAGCAUUGCGAUCACAGUGAAAGUCAAUCUCUGCAAUAGUUUGACUGACAAGACAACGCAGUGCUAGUAAACACUGAGCUGUUAGGUCUGUGGUCUUAUGUCUUCAUAGAGUGUGGGGAGCUUUUAUCAAAGUUUUCUGUUCUAAAAAGUGGUGUAAAGAUUUACCCACUCAAGUUUUGAACCUGUUCAUGG